rnacentral:lncRNA from 1 species
AGAGGACACAAAACAAGGGGGAUGGAGUGAGGCUCAGAUCUGCAAAAAGUGGAGACAAUGGAGGAUCCGAGUCCGCCAUGGCUGCAACCAUCUUGGUUACCCAGCCAAGAUACGGGUCAGAUCUCCCAAGCUCCCACUGGGGUUCGCUCCAAUUAGAAUACAUAUCCAUCAUCAUCAUAGCCUCCCUGUUUAUUUAAUUUACUUGCUCUUAGACAGAAACUCUGAAAUAGAUAGAAACAUGCAUGCAUCCAAUGCCAUCCAUACAUAAUGGAGAGUGGAAUGGAAUUGGUGGUGAAGGAAGUGAAGAAGAAAUAAUUAUACAGUAAAUUCCCCAGAAAGCAAACAGACAAUGCCUUUGAAUCAUCUGUAUCUGCAGCAGCAGCAACAACAACAACAAUAAGAGUAGAUUGUGUGAAACUGCAAAGGUCGGUUGAUUGAGAAUGGUGUUAGAAAUCAUGGGCUAAGCAGAGAGGGGCAACCGGCCUUGGAAACCAUUAUUAUCCUCUCCACCGCCUCAUUCUUCUAAGAGCAAACCCCAGCUUUUUGCUGCUCUCUUUACCAAACGCACUCCCUUAUAUGUUGAUGUUUUUUAGUAUUAUUUUUGUUGAGUAAUUGUCUUGGUUUUGGUGUUUAAUUUUUAAUUUCACUUGGUGGUUGAAAUGCUUGAGGGGAGGUUCAUGGUACUAGUUUGUGUAGACCGUGGAGAGAGAAUUCAAUUCUGUCAAAGAUGUGCCUUUGAUUUAUUCAUUUAUUAAAAAAAUCAAAGUUAUAAAUAUUUGAGGAAAAAAUAUAAUUGAAAGUAUAAGCCAGCUAUUGUGAUUAUAAUUAAAAUCAAAACGCAUAUAUUUUCGAUACAUAUGAUAUUUCUUUAUAGGUUUCAAAAAAAUAUAUGAUAUUUCUUUAUAUAAAUCUGUAAGUAAUUUUAUAUAUUACUGUUAUACAAAAUAUUUUUAUACUACUGAAUUAGAAGUCGAGAAGUAUAUUUCAUACAAGUGUGUACUACGAGAUGGCAUGGACAACAGACUAGAUUUAAUUAUUUUUUGAAGAUAAACAUACCAUUUUUUUUUUGUCCUGAGGUAUUUCUAAUUUAGAUUAUCUUUUUCCUAAUUAAAAUAAACUCCUCCAGAUAGCAUAGAUCAAAUAACAAAAAAAAGAUAAUUAGCAAAAAAAAAAUAACUAAAAAGAUUGAUUAGAUUCUUUCCUAGAAAAGAAUAACAAACAAAAUAGAUCAAAUGUCUAAAAAGAUUGAUCAGACUCUUUCCUAGAUCAGACUCUUUCCUAGAAAUGAGGGGUCGUUUAGUUCGUAGGUUUCUGGAAUGNGACAAUGGAGGAUCCGAGUCCGCCAUGGCUGCAACCAUCUUGGUUACCCAGCCAAGAUACGGGUCAGAUCUCCCAAGCUCCCACUGGGGUUCGCUCCAAUUAGAAUACAUAUCCAUCAUCAUCAUAGCCUCCCUGUUUAUUUAAUUUACUUGCUCUUAGACAGAAACUCUGAAAUAGAUAGAAACAUGCAUGCAUCCAAUGCCAUCCAUACAUAAUGGAGAGUGGAAUGGAAUUGGUGGUGAAGGAAGUGAAGAAGAAAUAAUUAUACAGUAAAUUCCCCAGAAAGCAAACAGACAAUGCCUUUGAAUCAUCUGUAUCUGCAGCAGCAGCAACAACAACAACAAUAAGAGUAGAUUGUGUGAAACUGCAAAGGUCGGUUGAUUGAGAAUGGUGUUAGAAAUCAUGGGCUAAGCAGAGAGGGGCAACCGGCCUUGGAAACCAUUAUUAUCCUCUCCACCGCCUCAUUCUUCUAAGAGCAAACCCCAGCUUUUUGCUGCUCUCUUUACCAAACGCACUCCCUUAUAUGUUGAUGUUUUUUAGUAUUAUUUUUGUUGAGUAAUUGUCUUGGUUUUGGUGUUUAAUUUUUAAUUUCACUUGGUGGUUGAAAUGCUUGAGGGGAGGUUCAUGGUACUAGUUUGUGUAGACCGUGGAGAGAGAAUUCAAUUCUGUCAAAGAUGUGCCUUUGAUUUAUUCAUUUAUUAAAAAAAUCAAAGUUAUAAAUAUUUGAGGAAAAAAUAUAAUUGAAAGUAUAAGCCAGCUAUUGUGAUUAUAAUUAAAAUCAAAACGCAUAUAUUUUCGAUACAUAUGAUAUUUCUUUAUAGGUUUCAAAAAAAUAUAUGAUAUUUCUUUAUAUAAAUCUGUAAGUAAUUUUAUAUAUUACUGUUAUACAAAAUAUUUUUAUACUACUGAAUUAGAAGUCGAGAAGUAUAUUUCAUACAAGUGUGUACUACGAGAUGGCAUGGACAACAGACUAGAUUUAAUUAUUUUUUGAAGAUAAACAUACCAUUUUUUUUUUGUCCUGAGGUAUUUCUAAUUUAGAUUAUCUUUUUCCUAAUUAAAAUAAACUCCUCCAGAUAGCAUAGAUCAAAUAACAAAAAAAAGAUAAUUAGCAAAAAAAAAAUAACUAAAAAGAUUGAUUAGAUUCUUUCCUAGAAAAGAAUAACAAACAAAAUAGAUCAAAUGUCUAAAAAGAUUGAUCAGACUCUUUCCUAGAUCAGACUCUUUCCUAGAAAUGAGGGGUCGUUUAGUUCGUAGGUUUCUGGAAUGAGGUAUGGGGUUUGUCCAUUCCAAACUCAUACCUGGUGUUUGGUUGACAAAAAUAAAAUCUGAAACUCAUACCUUAAACCCCAAAGUAUGGGUUUUUGAUACACAAGUGGGGAGGUGGGUAUGAGAUGGAGGUAUGAGCUAUAUUCAUUUUUUAUUUUUUUUCCCUCUCUUUAAGUAAUGAAAUAUAAAUGUUUGAUAAAAAAUUAAAUCAAUGAUGCAAAAAUAUAUGACAAUAACAAUUUUAUUAAUAUUUUUAAUUAAUAUAUAUUAAUAACUUAUUUUUUAUAAAAAUUGUAUAUAUUGAUUCCAACACUCAACCAAACACAUGAUAUCAGAUAUGAUACCUCAAACUCAUACCAGCUUAACCCGAUUUCUCAUUCCAACCCGAUACCACUCCUCAAACCAAACAACCCCUAAGGAGUAGCAAACAAAAAUCGUUUGGUCAAUUACGAUGCUCGAUUCCCCGAAUACCAAAAAAACAUAAAAAUGAACUGGAUCUUUUGGAAACACCCAUGUCCACUAGUUGUCUAGCAUGAUUGUAGCAUUUUAGGUUGAAAAAAUAACAAAAGUCAAAAAAAUGCAUUGAAAUUAAAAUUUUGUGGUAAAAUUAGAAGACAUUACUUUAAUAUAUUUUGAAUUGUACUGCUUUAAGAAAGUUCACGAAUUUACAAUAAAAAACAAGACAUUGUUUUAAAUCAUUGAAAAGGUGAUUAAUAAGUAAUAACCAUCCUUUUUGAGGAAAAAAUAAAGAGGAUUUUCUUCUAUUGCUAAACUGCCCUUAAAUAAUUUUUUAAUAUAAAAAUGUUAUACGAACAUCUUGUUAAAAAAUUUUAAAUUAGAUAUCAAAAAUAUAGGCUACAAUAGCAUAAUUAACCCUAAAAAAUUUCAUCCGUAAUAAAAAAUUAUAAAUAAGAUUAUUCCAACUCCUUUAACUUAUUUCUUAUUUUUAAUAAUUAAAUUAAUCAAAUAUUAAUCGAAUAUUAAACAUAAAAUAAAAAUGAAUGAUAGAAGAUUAACUUAAAAAGAAAAAGAUAACAAUGGAGUGAGGCUCAGAUCUGUAAAAAGCGGAGACACCGGAGGAUCUAAUUCCGCCAUGGCUGCAACCAUCCAGUUGCUUGCGAAUCGCAAGCCAUCCGGCGUUGCCCAGCCAAGAUACGGGUCAGAUUCCCCCGAGCCCCAACCGGGGUUCGCUACAAUUAGAUUAUAAAACAUUAUCAUCAUAGCCUCUUUGUUAAUAGCUGCGCCAUCGGAGACUCUGGAGAUGCUCUAGUACAUGAAUUCAUGCAGAUCACUUAAGUGAAGGGGAAUGGCGUUGAUAUGGUAGAAUGCUUUGUUAAUAUUAUUUUAAUAAUAAUAAUAAAUUAUUAUGGGCUACAUAUAUAAAUAUAUCAAUUAUAUUUAAUUAUUUAUUUUAUUGGGUUAAAUUACGUGAUCAAAUCAGUGUUCUAAAAGUCGGCGAUUAAUCGGGAUUAAUCGCCGAUUAAUCGCUGUUCGGUCGGCCACCGUCUCGAUUAAGCGUUAAUCGGCGAAAAAAUAGUUUUUUCUGAAAAUCGGGAUUAAUCGGUCAAAAGUCGGGAUUAAUCGGAAAAAGUCGGUCAAAAAUCGGUGAAUUUAAAAAAAUUAAAAAUAAAAAGUAAAAAAAUCUUAAAAUUCUAAAAUUUAAUUUUAAAUAAAACAAAAGGCACGGAAAUGACAAAACACAUAAAUUAAAGUUGUUUUAUUACCUUUCACUCUUUCAAUAUUAACUUUAAACUCUAAUUACAUAAAUUUGCAAUAUCUUCCUUCGCAGAUUCAAUCAAAUUCAAGUUUAUAUAUGAGAUGAAUGGAUUUGUAUAUGUAUAUAAAGGCAUGUUUUGUGUUAUAAAAAAUCAUUAAUCUUUUGAUUUUAUAUGACUAUAAAUUUAUACUAUAUAUAAUUAUAUUAAUAUAUACUAUUAUUUAAAAAAUAAUAUUAAAUUGAUUACGAUUAAUGAUCCGAUUAAUCACUCCGAUUAAUCUCCGAUUAUCCGAUUAAUCGCUAGACGGUGCCUUCACCGACUAAGUCCGAUUCCCGCUUUUUACAACACUGGAUCAAAUAAGAAACCCAAUUAGAUUUUAAUUAUUGUGUGGGUCAAAUGAGUGGAUACUCAAUACUAAGGCCUAAUCAAUAUAUAUAUAUAAAGGAGGAUGCGGGCGUCUCUACAAUUGCUCGAUUCAGUCCUCUGAAUUUUCUUGAUUUUCGGAGAGAAAAUAUAGUUAUAAUUCAAAAAAUCAGGUCCAAGAAUUCUGAAAGUAAUACAAUUCUUUUCUUAUUUAAUUCUAAAGAUGAUACAGUUCUUUUCUUAUUUGGUAUUUUUUAUUAAACUCUAAAGAUGAUACAAUAGUAUUUCUUAUUGAAUUCUAAAGAUGAUACAAUUCUUUUCUUAUUUAGGAAUCCAAAACAAAUAGGAUUAUAUUUAUUCAAACUAAUAAUAAUAGAUAAAAUACAAUUUAUAUUUAAGAUAUGUAAAGUAAUAUAUACAAUUCUUAUUUUCGAUAAGAUAUAUUGAAGAUAUGUUUAACGGGUACACGAUUGAAAAUAACUUUUAUGGAAUUAUAAUAGUAUUUCGUAUCAAACUUUAUAAAAAAAAUUAUUUAUUAGUAUUGUGUUUAAGGGGAGGGCGGCCCAAAUUAAUUUUUACCUAAAUAAUAAUAUUUUUUUAUUAGUAUUAUGUUUGAUGGGAAAGUAGCUAAAACAAUUUUUUGUCUAGAUUUAUAAAAAAUUCAUAACGCCGCCGCGAAGCGCGGCUUUUUUCACUAGUCAGUAUAUAUAUAUAAAGGAGGAUGCGGGCGUCUCUACGAUUGUUCGAUUCAGUCUUCUGAUUUUUCUUAAAUUUCGGAGAGAAAAUAUAGUUAUAAUUCAAAAAAUCUGGUUCAAGAAUUCUAGAGGUAAUACAAUUCUUUUCUCAUUGAAUUCUAAAUAUGAUACAAUUUUUUUCUUAUUUAGUAUUUCUUAUUGAAUUCUAAAGAUGAUACAAUAGUAUUUCUUAUUGAAUUCUAAAGAUUAUACAAUUCUUUUUAUAUUUACUAAUCCUAAAAGUAAUAGGACUAUAUUUAUUGAAACUAAUAAUAAUAGAUAAAAUAUAAUUUAUAUUUAAUAUUUGUUAAGUAAUAUAUACAAUUCUUAUUUUCGAUAAGAUAUAUUGAAGAUGUAGUUGAAUUUUAUAUUAUAAAAUUUUAUUUUAAAUAUGUUCGAAUUAUAAAGUUGGCAUCUCUAGAAUUGUUCGAUUCAGUUUAUAAUUUUCUUAAAUUUCGGAUAGAAAAUAAAAUUAUAAUAAAAACCAAAUUCAAAUAUUUUAUAGAUAAAACGAUUGCAAAGAUAGUACAAUUCUUUUACUUAUUUAGAAAUCAUAAAAGAUUAGGAUUCCAUUUAUUCAAAAUAACAAUUAUAGAACAAAUAUAAUUAAAAAAAAUACAAUUUUUAUUUUCAAAAGUUAUAAAAAUUUUCCUUCAAAAAAAAAGUUGUAAAAUUUAUAAUCUUAUUUUAUUAAUUUUUUUCAAAUUAUAUAUUAAAAAAAAAUAAAAACCAGCAUCUUCUAGAAUCUCACAUUGUCUAAACAGGUUCGUAGCGCUAGACUCGCGUCGUUCCAUAAUGAUCAACAAGAAAAUAACAUAAAACAUCUCUGACAUAUUUGCAGGCUCUCAAAUAGUAUGCAUGGACUUACGACCAAUCUCGACAAUAGUUCGAUUCAGUCAUAUAAUUUUCUUGAAUUUCGAAUAGAAAAUAAAAUUAUAAUUCCAAAAAUCAAAUUCAAGGAUCUUCUUAUUUAGGAAUCCUAAAAGAAAUAGGAUUUUAUUUAUUUAAACUAACAAUCAUUGAAAAAAUACAAUUUAUAGUUAAAAUUUGUAAGGUAAUAUGUACAAUUUUUAUUUUCGAUUUAGUUUUAUAAUUUUCUUAAAUUUCGAGUAGAAAAUCAAGGAUUAUAAAGAUAAUAAUCAUUAAAAAAGACUAAUAGCACAAAAAUAAGAAUAAUAGAAGAAUAAUAUUUUUUAACUAAUAAAUAGGAAUCAUUAAAUAAUAAUAAUAAUAAAUAAAUACGAUAUAUAAAAUAGGAAUUAUAUAUUGAUUUUAUGAUAAUCAAAAUGAUUCUUGAUUAGUAUUAUGUUUGACGGGCACGGGAGGCGGCCCAAACUAAUUUUUAUCUAAAUAAUAAUAAUAUUUUUAUUAGUUUUGUGUUUGACGGGCACGAGAGGGCCCAAACUAAUUUUUAUCUAAAUAAUAAUAAUUUUUCCAUUAGUAUUUUGUUUGACGGGAAAGUGGCUAAAAUAAUUUUUUUAUCUAUGUUAUAAUAUAUUUCUUUUCCUAAAACAGGACCACAGUUCAAAAUAAUUUUUAUCCAAUUAUAAGCUUUAAUAUUACAAGUUUCAUAUAUUAUUCUAUUUCAUCAUUUAUGAAUAGAUAUUACACGCCGUCACGAAGUAAUCACACCUUAUAUCAAACGGCUUUUAUGAAGCAAACAAAUUUUUACAAUAAUACACCCUAAUAUAGCAUACAUCCAAAAAUUCUUGAUAAUUUGAUAGAAUAUUAAAUGAGGACCACUUAAGCAAAUUUUUAUACUAAUUAUAAUAUUUUUUUUAUUAGUCAUAUGUUUAACGAUUAUUUAUUUUAUUGGGUUAAAUUACGUGAUCAAAUAAGAAAUCCAAUUAGAUUUUAAUUAUUGUGUGGGUCAAAUGAGUGGAUACCCAAUACUAAGGCCUAAUUUAAUUAUAAUGGGAGAUUAAAUUGAGCGUUAGAAUACAGAAGGUUAUAGUCCCCAAUAUAUCAAGCAACACAUACAGUCUUUCUUUACCCAUCAGAGAGGACUACUAGAGAAAACCUAAGGAGUGCUUGGUUGAGGAAGACAAUAACGCUGCUUCAAAAGCAAGAUUACUUAAGGUUAUACCACUAUCAUCACUAAUGGAUACAGGUAUGCUUCCGCUUACAGUUUAUAACUCGAUAGUUGAAUAUGAUGUUUACGAUCCUUGUCUCUAUUAUAGAGAAUUUGUGCUUAUAGAAUUAUAAGUUUCUUACCAUUGGCAUCAGAGCCACUUCAUAUUUGAUUAUUGAGUGUACAGUUUUUGCAUAUGUUUUGAAAUCGGUUAAUCUGAUUUGUUCGGUUAUUGUUUUCCGAGAGGAUUUGUGUGCACGCACAGUCUGGCUAAUUUUUUGACACUUGAAUUGCGUUUGCGUGAUUUCACUUCGGUCAAAUUUUCUUUUACACACGCGCAUGUCCAGUAAAAUUUUGAAUUGUUAAGGUUCAACCCCAUGGUUAUUUUAAUUAUGUAACUGUUGAUCAUGGAUGCAUGUUACUUUUGUAUGUCAUGCAUUAUAAUACCAUAUCAUACUUGGUACUUUUGUUUUUUUUUGUUUAGUAAGCUCCAUGUUAAUGGUUAAAGUGAUGCUCUGGAUUCAGUUUAUUAUUAUGCAGUAAUACAGUACCUAGCAUGUUGAGUCAUAUUUUUAUAUAAUUUGGUUAAUUUGCUGCAAAUAAAGAAAAUGUAUUAUGGUUAUGUGUUAAAUUUUAAUAUUGGCAAAAUAUUAUUAACCUAUUUAGUUAGGUGGUCAAAUAAUUUUAAGUUAAUUGAUUGAAGCAAUAUGUUGCCAAAGUAACCUCUUUUGUGUAGAUUAGUUAAUUUAAAAGUAUUAUUAUGACGAUUGAAUAUUUAAUUUAAUGCAAAUUUUAUCGGCCCAAAGGAAGAUAAAUAUUUGGCCAAAAUUAAAAUAUUCUUGUGAUAGUAAGUAUGUAGCAAUAUAAAGUUUUUUUUUCAUGUGAAUAAUAAGUCGGUCCAAAGAAAGGCAUAUUAUUUGACAGAAAUUAAUUGUUAAUACUUGAUUAGUGCGUGGAGAGUACCAAUUGCAAAUUAAAUUUUCUGUCCAAAGACUAAAAUUUAUUGUUGCGCUAGGUAUCUUGUGAUGGUGUUGCCAAUAAUAAAAUUUAUUAUAUUAUUAUAUAUGUUAGUGUUGAGCAUUUUCUGUAAAUUUGUUUUCUAUUGCAGUUAUGACUACAGUUAAUUCUGCUUCUGCUCAAUUGAGCAUGAUUCCAAUGUUGAAUGGGACAAACUAUGUCACAUGGAAAGAGACUGUUGAGAUUGUUCUUGGGUGCAUGGAUCUUGACCUUGCGCUAAGGAAAGAGCAACCAGUUCCCACUACGGAUGAUCCGAAAACGGAUCAAAUUGAUAAGUGGGAACGCUCUAAUCGCAUGUGUAUGGCGAUCAUGAAGCGAACGAUCCCAACUGGCUUUCGGGGCUCCAUUGCUGAGAGCACAAGUGCCAAGAAGUUCCUCUCUGAAAUUGAGCAAUAUUUUGCUAAGAAUGAGAAAGCGGAAACGAGUAAUCUUCUGUCAAAACUCGUGACCAUGAAGUAUAAAGGAAAGGGGAACAUAAGGGAGUACAUCAUUGGGAUGUCUAAUCUUGCAGGCAAACUUAAGGAACUCAAGUUAGAACUUUCAGAUGAGCUGCUUGUUCACUUGGUUCUGAUUUCUCUCCCUCCUCAGUUUGGACACUUUGUGGUGAGUUACAAUACUCAAAAGGAAAUUGGACUCUUAAUGAGCUCAUUUCACACUGUGUGCAAGAGGAGGAGAGGGUUUUGCGAGAGAAGACUGAAAGUGCUCACUUGGCAUCGAGCUCUCAUGAUAAGAAAAAAAAGAGAGGUAAGGAUUCUGCAAGUGGAAAACCCAAGCAACCUUCGCAAGAGAAGCAGGAUAAGGGACCAACCUGUUACUUUUGUAAGAAGGCUGGAUAUAUGAAGAAUGAGUGUUCCAAAUAUGCUGCUUGACGUGUGAAGAAGGGUAUGACUUUUGUCUUUGUUUGUUCUGAAGUUAAUUUAGCUUCUGUACCUAAAGAUACUUGGUGGGUAGAUUCUGGUGCUACUACUCAUAUAAGUGUAUCAAUGCAGGGUUGCCUGUGGAGCCGACCGCCAACUGAUGCUGAAAGAUACAUCUAUGUGGGUGACGGCAAUAAAGUUUCAGUUGAAGCAGUUGGAACAUUUAGAUUGUUAUUAAAAACUGGUGUUUAUUUGGAUUUAUUUGAGACUUUUGUUGCACCGUCUUUUAGACGGAAUCUUAUUUCUAUUUCCUGUUUGGACAAAUAUGGCUACACUUGUUCCUUUGGAAAUAAUAAAGUUUGUUUCUCAUUAAAUUCAAAUGUGGUUGCUACUGGUUCUUUAAUUGAUAAUCUUUAUAUGCUUGAGACUGUUACUUUUAAUAAUGAAAUUUUGCACUCAAGUGCAAGAGGUACAAAGCGUAAGAUAACUGAGAAUUCUGCCAUGUUGUGGCACAAGCGCUUAGGACACAUCUCUAAACAGAGAAUUCAGAGGCUUGUGAAUGAUAGAAUUCUUGAUCCCUUAGAUUUAAGUGAUUUUCAGGUUUGCAUAGAAUGCAUUAAGGAAAACAAACAAACUCAAGAAAGUUAGGUGCCAACAGAGCUACUAGUGUCUUAGAACUGAUUCAUACCGAUAUAUGUGGACCAUUCCCUACGGCCUCUUGGAACGGUCAAUGGUAUUUUAUCACGUUCAUAGACGAUUACUCAAGAUAUGGUUACCUAUACUUAAUACAUGAGAAGUCACAAGCUUUGGAUGUGUUUAAGGUCUUCAAAGCUGAAGUUGAGAAACAGCGUGGUAAGCCAAUUAAAGCUGUCAGGUCUGAUCGUGGUGGUGAGUACUACGGUAGAUAUGAUGGAUCAGGUGAACAACGUCCAUGGCCCUUUGCUAACUUCCUAAAGGAGUGUGGGAUUGUCCCUCAGUACACUAUGCCAGGCAAACCUAAUAUGAAUGGUGUUGCUGAGAGGCGAAACCGUACUCUUAAAGAUAUGGUGAGAAGUAUGAUAAGUCAUUCUUCUUUACCUGAAUCACUUUGGGGAGAUGCACUAAUGACUGCUAUUUAUAUCCUUAAUAGAGUUCCAACAAAGGCAGUGGCCGAAACCCCCUUACAAACUUUGGACUGAUAAAACUCCAAGUAUUAGGCAUUUACAUGUUCGGGGUUGUCCAGCUGAGGCAAGGCCAUAUAGACCAAAUGAAAAGAAACUGGACUCAAGGACGGUCAGUUGCUAUUUUGUUGGAUAUCCGGAGCGUACUCGCGGAUUUAAAUUUUAUGAUCCCGCUACUAGAUCCUUCUUCGAGACUGAUAAUGCAAGAUUUUUUGAGGAUGUUGAUUUUGGGAGGGAAGAUAUAGGUAGAAGUGUUGUCUUUGAAGAAGAUAGUCAUGAUCUUAUUCAUGACACGACCGAGAGCAAUGAUCAGAUUAUGGUACCUAUCAUUGUUCAAGGCCCUCCGGUUCAAGACAACACUGCAUUCCCCAUGAGGAACCAAUUGAUCAAACUCAACAACCUCAUGAAUCACAAGAAGUGCCACUAAGGAGAUCCACUAGAGAGCGAAAGAGCGCAAUUCCAGAUGAUUAUGUUGUUUUUCUACAAGAACAUGAAGAUGGAAUUGGCAUUGGAGAAGAUGAUCCUGUAAAUCUUCAACAGGCCAUGCAGAGUCCUCAUGCUCAAAAGUGGAUCGAUGCCAUGAAUGAAGAGAUGCAAUCUAUGAAAGACAAUGACGUUUGGGAUCUUGUCGAGUUGCCUAAAGGAUCAAAGCCUGUUGGUUGCAAAUGGGUUUUUAAAACCAAAAAGGAUUCAAAAGGUAACAUCGAAAGAUAUAAGGCUCGUCUAGUCGCAAAAGUAUUCACUCAAAAGAAAGCUAUCGACUAUAAUGAAACUUUCUCUCCAGUUUCCACGAAAGACUCAUUUAGAAUUUUUAUGGCGCUUGUGGCUCAUUAUGACCUAGAGCUACAUCAGAUGGACGUAAAGACAGCGUUUCUCAAUGGUAACAUUGGAGAGACAAUUUAUAUGGUGCAACCAGAAAAUUUUGUCAUUCGAGAUCCAAAGACAAUGGUUUGCAGAUUAAAGAAGUCCAUCUAUGGUCUCAGACAGGCCUCUCGUGAAUGGUAUCACAAAUUUCAUCAUGUUAUCACAUCAUAUGGUUUUGAAGUGAACUUGGUGGAACAUUGUGUAUAUCACAAGUUCAGUGGGAGCAAAUUUAUCUUUCUUCUCUUAUACGUUGAUGACAUCUUACUUGCCACUAAUGAUAUAGGCUUAUUGCACGAUACCAAGAAAUUUCUCACUAAUCAAUUUGAGAUGAAGGAUCUUGGUAACGCCUCUUUUGUAUUAGGAAUUCAGAUACAUCGAGAUCGCUCUCGAGGUAUUCUUGGAUUGUCGCAAAAGAGCUAUAUCGAAAAGAUCCUGGAAAGGUAUGUCAUGAAAGAUUGUGCACUAAUGGAUACACCCGUGUCUAAAGGAGACAAAUUCAGUCUCAAACAAUGUCCCAAGAAUGAACUUGAGAUAAAAGAAAUGCAGAAGAUACCAUAUGCCUCGGCAGUGGGAAGUCUGAUGUAUGCUCAAGUUUGUACUCGUCCUGACAUAGCAUUGAUUGUUGGAAUGUUGGGAAGAUAUUUGAGCAAUCCGGGGAUGGAACAAUGGAAAGCAGUAAAAUGAGUCCUACGGUAUUUUAAGAAAACAAAAGACUAUAUGCUCACAUAUAGGAAAUCAGAUCAUCUCGAAAUCAUUGGAUAUUCGGAUUCUGACUUUGGAGGAUGCAAAGAUGAAAGAAAAUCUACUUCAUGCUAUGUUUAUUUAUUAGCUGGUGGAGCGAUUUCAUGGAAGUCUGCUAAACAGACGCUCAUAGCUUCAUCCACCAUGGCUGCGGAGUAUAUAGCAUGCUUUGUGGCAUCCAAUCAAGCAUUAUGGCUGCGAAAUUUUGUCACUGGUUUGCGUAUUCUUGAUGGUGUUGAAAGAUUAUUAAAGAUAUUAUGUGAUAAUAAAUCAGCAGUGGAGUAUUCUAAUAACAAUAGGAGCACUACUGAAGCAAAACAUAUAGAUAUCAAGUUACUAGUUGUUAAAGAAAAGAUACAGAGUGGACAAAUUUCUAUAGAACACAUUGGGACUAACUCCAUGAUUGCGGAUCCGCUCACCAAGUCGUUAGCACCUAAGGUUUUUCACGAGCAUAUUGCUCAUAUGGGUGUUACCUCAUGUGAUACUUUGGUUUAGUGGGAGUUUGUAUUUUGGUGUGUUACGUAAUAAACAUUGAGAUGUUUAUGUUCUGCAGAAUACAGUUGAUGGAAUUUUAGUUCAUUAAUUGUCACUCUACUUUUGUUCAAUUUUCUUAUUGUGGUUUAAACAUUGAGUUGAGAAAAUUUAUAUAAAUCUCAUUAGAGAUUGACUAAGGACUAGUUGGAAAUAGGCAUUAUAUAGAUCACAUUGUAUGUAAUUUCCAUGUCACUUAUCCAUACUUUGAUUCAUGUCGUUGAAUAUAUUUGUGUGGUGACCACGGAAGGUUUAGUCGCGUAAAGUUUGUGACGAAUACCGCCAGAAUCUCAUACCUAUAUAGUAGAUGGACCGAAUUGUUUUAGUAAAAUCUAAGGACAAUGAAUAGCAUAAGGUUGCGCACUAAAGAUAUGUAUAAUUGAUUUUGGAUUUAAUAUGAAGCCCAAGUGGGAGAUUGUUAUUAUUAUUUUAAUAAUAAUAAUAAAUUAUUAUGGGCUACAUAUAUAAAUAUAUCAAUUAUAUUUAGUUAUUUAUUUUAUUGGGUUAAAUUACGUGAUCAAAUAAGAAAUCCAAUUAGAUUUUAAUUAUUGUGUGGGUCAAAUGAGUGGAUACCCAAUACUAAGGCCUAAUUUAAUUAUAAUGGGAGAUUAAAUUGAGCGUUAGAAUACAGAAGGUUAUAGUCCCCAAUAUAUCAAGCAACACAUACAGUCUUUCUUUACCCAUCAGAGAGGACUACUCGAGAAAACCUAAGGAGUGCUUGGUUGAGGAAGACAAUAACGCUGCUUCAAAAGCAAGAUUACUUAAGGUUAUACCACUAUCAUCACUAAUGGAUACAGGUAUGCUUCCGCUUACAGUUUAUAACUCGAUAGUUGAAUAUGAUGUUUACGGUCCUUGUCUCUAUUAUAGAGAAUUUAUGCUUAUAGAAUUAUAAGUUUCUUACAAUUGGCAUCAGAGCCACUUCAUAUUUGAUUAUUGAGUGUACAGUUUUUGCAUAUGUUUUGAAAUCGGUUAAUCUGAUUUGUUCGGUUAUUGUUUUCCGAGAGGAUUUGUGUGCACGCACAGUCUGGCUAAUUUUUUAACACUUGAAUUGCGUUUGCGUGAUUUCACUUCGGUCAAAUUUUCUUUUAAACUAAUGAGUUAAAACCCUAGUUUCUCGGUUUCCCCUCUUUAUAUAUCUCACCGGUCCCAUAAUUCCUUUUUACCAAACUACCCUUGCUAAAAAAAUUAGAAUAUAAUAACUUUGGUUUCAUUUUCCCAAUAUGUUAUAAAUUAAACAUAUUAUGUAAUUAAAUUUAGUUUUUUUUUGGAAAAUACGCUCAUCUUUUAAAUUUUGACAAAAAUAUUUUUACUUUGGAAACUUUGAAAAUUAUUAUUUAUUGAAUUUCUUACAAAAUUACUUAAUUUUUUAUGCUACAAUCAAAUGCAUACUCAAUUAAAAGUAGUUCAAUUUUUCGGUUACGGAGAGCCAUAAAUACUUGCAAAAUAGAAUAAGAAUUAACAAAUUAUAUUUUUAUUACAAAUAUAUUUUAUCCAUUUCAAAUUUAUUUUACCAUUUUUAUAAAUUUUACAAAGUGAUUUUUAUUUAAAGUUGUGGUCAAUUGAAAAGCCAUACAAGACUUUUACAGUAGAGAGCAGAAACUAUUAAAAGACAAAUAAACUUAUAUUAUUAUUAUUAUGUAUGAAUUAUAGAAAAUAAAAAGAUUAAUUGAUUAAAAGAGGUCACAAAACAAAGGGGAUGGAGUGAGGCUCAGAUCUGCAAAAAGUGAAGACAAUGGAGGAUCCGAUUCCGCCAUGGCUGCAACCAUCUUAGUUACCCAGCCAAGAUACGGGUCGGAUCUCCCAAGCUCCCACUGGGGUUCGCUCCAAUUAGAUUACAUAUACAACAUCAUCAUAGCCUCGUUGUUUAUUUCACUUGCUCUUAGACAGAUACUGGAAUAGAUAGAUACAUGCAUGCAUCCAAAGCCAUCCAUACAUAAUGGAGAGUGGAAUGGAAAUGGUAGUGAAGGAAGUGAAGUAGAAAUAAUAAUACAGUAAUUUCCCCAGAAAACAAAGAAUCAUCUGUAUCUGCAGCAGCAACAACAACAAGAAUAGAUUGUGUUGCAAAGGUCGGUUGAUUAAGAGUGGUGUUAGAAAUCAUGGGCUAAGUAGAGAGGGGCAACCGGCCUUAGAAACCUUUUUUAUCCUCUCCACCGCCUCAUUCUUCUAAGAGCAAACCCCAGCUUUUUGCUGCUCUCUUUACCAAACGCACCGCUCCCUUAUAUCUUGAUGCUUUUUUUUAAUUAUUUUUUGUUGGGUAAUUGUCUUGGUUUUGGUGUUUAAUUUUUAAUUGCACUUGGU